UACAGAGGUGGCAAGCGUUGUUCGGAUUUACUGGGCGUAAAGGGUCCGUAGGCGGUUUGAAAAGUCAUAUGUGAAAGCCCACAGCUCAACUGUGGAACUGCAUCUGAAACUUUCGAACUAGAGUAUGAUAGGGGUUAAGGGAAUUCCCGGUGUAAGGGUGAAAUCUGCAGAGAUCGGGAGGAACACCAGUCGCGAAGGCGCUUAACUGGCUCAUUACUGACGCUAAGGGACGAAAGCUAGGAUAGCAAACGGG
rnacentral:rRNA from 1 species